rnacentral:lncRNA from 1 species
UUUAUUUACUUCCUCUACAGUUUUCCUGACUGCUACAUUUCAUGAGAAGGGAUUGUUUAUGAGGGUCAAGGAGCUGGAGGCCUGGGGAGGAGCUGGUGUUUCUGUUCAAGUUUGAGGGUCCUGGAGCUGGAGUCCAGGGGAGGAGCCGGUGCUGCCACUGAUGUCUUAGGGUCGUGGAGCUGAAGAUCCCAGAGGAGCCGGUGCUGCUAUUCUAGCUUGAGUUUCGUGGAGCUGGAGACCCAGGGAGAAGAUGGUGCUGCUGUUCUAAUUUAAGGAUCGUGAAACAGAAGACCCAGAAAGGAGCUGGUGCUGCCGCUGCUCAGAUCUGAGGGUGUUGGAGCUGGAGACUUAGGGAGGAGACGUCUUGUUCUAGUUUCAGGGUCGUGGAGCUGCAGACUGAGGCAGGAGCAUUGUUGUUAUAGUUCGAGGGUCAGAAAGCUGGCGACCCAGGGAGGAGAGGUCUUGUUCUGGUCUGAGGGUCGUGGAGCUGCAGACCCAGGGAGGAGCAAUUUUGUUGUAGUUCGAGGGUCAGGAAGCUGGCGACCCAGGGAGGAGAGGUCUUCUUCUGGUGUGAGGGUCGUGGAGCUGCAGACGCAGGGAGGAGCAAUUUUGUUGUAGUUCGACGGUCAGGAAGCUGGCGACCCAGGGAGAGGUCUUGUACUAGUCUGAGGGUCGUGGAGCUGCAGACCCAGGGAGGGGCAAUGUUGUUGUAAUUCGAGGGUCUGGCAGCUGGCAACUCGGGGAGGAGAAGUCUUGUUGGAGUUUGAGGGUCGUGGAGCUGCCAACCCAGGGAGGAGCAAUUUUGUUGUAGUUCAAGGGUCCGGAAGCUGGCGACCCAGGGAGGAGAGGUCUUGAUCCGGUCUGAGGGUCGUGGAGCUACAGACCCAGGGUGGAGCAAUGUUGUUGUAGUUCGAGGGUCUGGUAGCUGGCAACUUGGGGAAGACAAGUCUUGUUCGAGUUCGAGGGUCGUGGAGCUGCAGACCCAGGGAGGAGCCAUUUUGUUGUAGUUCAAGGGUCCGGAAACUGGCGACCCAGGGAGGAGAGGUCUUGUUCUAGUUUCAGGGUCGUGGAGCUUCUGACCCAGGGAGGAGCAUUGUUGUUUUAGUUCGAGGGUCAGGAAGCUGGCGACCCAGGGAGGAGAGGUCUUGUUCUGGUUUGAGGGUCGUGGAGCCGCAGACCCAGGGAGGAGCAAUGUUGAUGUAAGUUGAAGGUCCGGUAGCUGGCACCCUGGGGAGGAGAAGUCUUGUUCGAGUUUGAGGGUCGUGGAGCUGCCGACCCAGGGAGGAGCAAUUUUGUUGUCGUUCGAGUGUCAGGAAGCUGGCGACUCAGGUAGGAGAAAUUUUGUUCUAGUUUCAGGGUUGUGGAGCUGCAGACCCAGGGAGGAGCAAGGUUGUUGUAAUUCGAGGGUCAGGAAGCUGGCGACCCAGGGAGGAGAGGUCUUGUUCUAGUUUGAGGGUCGUGGAGCUGCAGACCCAGGGAGGAGCCAUGUUGGUUUGAAUGUUGUGGAUCUGGAGAUCCACGGAGGAGCUGGUGCUGCCUUUGAAGUCUGAGAGUCACUGAGCUGGAGAUCCAGAGAGGAACCGGUGUUGCUGUUCUAGUCUGAACAGAUCUAGAGUUCUGGGGAGUUGCCGGUUCUGCCUCUCAAGUCUGAGAGUUGUUGAGCUGGAGAUUCAGGGAGGAGCCUGUGUUGCUGUUGUAGUUUGAGGGUCAUGGAGCUGCAGACUCAGGGAGGAGGGGUGCGGUUCUAGUCUGAGGGUUGUGGAGCUUGAGACACAGGGAGGAGCUGGUGCUGCUGUUGUUUAAGGCUGAGGGUUGUGGUGCUGGAGACCCAGGUAAGAGCUGGUGCUGCUGUUGUUUAAGGCUGAGGGUUGUGUAGCUGGACAGUGGGGAGGAGGUAGUCUUAGUGUCUAAUGUGAGGUUGGUGGAGCUGUGGACCUGGGGUGGGGCCGGUGCUACUGUGUAGUUUGAGGGUCAUGGAACUGGAGACCUAGGGAGGAGCUGGUGCUACCACCAUUUAAGUCAGAGGGUCAUGGAUCUGGAGCUUUGGGGAACAGCCCAUGCUGCUGUUUAACUGUGGGGAGGAUGUGCUGUGUCCAUUGAAGUUUGAGGGUUUGGGAGCUGGAGACCCAGGGAGGAGCUGAUGAUGCCAUUCUAUUUUGAGGGUCGUGGAUCUGGGGACCUGGGGAGAGGCUGGUACUGCUGUUGUAGUUUGAGGUUCGUGGAACUGGAGACAGGGGGAGGAGCCGGUGGUGCUGUUCAUGUCUGAGGGUUGUAGAGCUGGAGACCCAGGGAGAAGCCCGUACUACAGCUUUUUAAGUCUGAGGGUCGUGGAGCCUGAGACCUG